rnacentral:rRNA from 1 species
UACGUAGGGUGCGAGCGUUGUCCGGAAUUACUGGGCGUAAAGAGCUUGUAGGUGGUUUGUCGCGUUGUUCGUGAAAUCUCACGGCUCAACUGUGAGCGUGCGGGCGAUACGGGCAGACUAGAGUACUGCAGGGGAGACUGGAAUUCCUGGUGUAGCGGUGGAAUGCGCAGAUAUCAGGAGGAACACCGGUGGCGAAGGCGGGUCUCUGGGCAGUAACUGACGCUGAGGCGCGAAAGCUAGGGGAGCAAACAGG